rnacentral:rRNA from 1 species
AGCAGCCGCGGUAAUUCCAGCUCCAAUAGCGUAUAUUAAAGUUGUUGCAGUUAAAAAGCUCGUAGUUGAAUUUCGGGAUUCUACCGUUGGUCGGGCUAUUGUUUGUACUGGCGUGUAGAAUUUCUACCUUCUGGGGAACUAUCAUGUUAUUAAUUUAGCGUGGUAGGAAACCAGGACCUUUACCUUGAAAAAAUUAGAGUGUUCAAAGCAGGCUUAUGUCUGAAUACAUUAGCAUGGAAUAAUAAAAUAGGACGGUGGUCCUGUUUUGUUGGUUUCUGAAUCACCGUAAUGAUUAAUAGGGAUAGUUGGGGGCAUUAGUAUUCAAUUGUCAGAGGUGAAAUUCUUGGAUUUAUUGAAGACUAACUACUGCGAAAGCAUUUGCCAAGGAUGUUUUCAUUAAUCAAGAACGAAAGUUAGGGGAUCGAAGACGAUCAGAUACCGUCGUAGUCUUAACCAUAAACUAUGCCGACUAGGGAUCGGAUGAUGUUAAUUUUUUAAUGACUCAUUCGGCGCCUUACGG